UGUACUGGGGCAGAGCUGGCUCUGCCACUGUUGUGAAUACAGAAGCCAUUGGCCCGCUGAAGUCCCAGACCUGCAGUGAAAGCUGACCUGAUGCAGCUAGGAGUUACCAGGACUUAGUGCUUUUCGCGAGGCUGCUGUGUACAUCCAUCAAAACCAAGACUCCACUAUGCAUUGAGUGUGUGGGGGUAGCAACACUAGGGCACAUGGGACAGUGACUCGCAGCAAAUGCCAGGCGGUGCUAUAUCACGGGCUCCUGGAAGAACCUAGAGAUAGAAGAAGCAGGAGAAGACCUGAGUGUCUGAGGCAAGGCCCUCUGGAGAUUGAAGCUUCUGCGUUAAUCUUGGACGAUGGAGGCUACUAAAGGUAUUUUGUAUUUAUUAAGGGCUUACCAAGAAGUAAGCAAUACUCCGAUCCUUUGCCUGUAUCUCUCUUCUUCUUGGUAGCCUUGAUUGACAUCUCACUUUACAAAUG